GCCACAGUCAACGCUGUUGACUGCUCUCCUAAAGCGGGUGUCGCAGGUUCGAAUCCUGCCGGGGGCA
rnacentral:tRNA from 1 species